rnacentral:rRNA from 1 species
UACGUAGGUGACAAGCGUUGUCCGGAUUUACUGGGCGUAAAGAGCGCGCAGGCGGUCGUUCAAGUCGAGUGUGAAAGCCCCCGGCUCAACUGGGGAGGGUCAUUCGAUACUGAUCGACUCGAAGGCAGGAGAGGGUAGUGGAAUUCCCGGUGUAGUGGUGAAAUGCGUAGAUAUCGGGAGGAACACCAGUGGCGAAGGCGGCUUUCUGGCCCGUUCUUGACGCUGAGGCGCGAAAGCUAGGGUAGCAAACGGG